rnacentral:rRNA from 1 species
UACGGAGGGUGCGAGCGUUGUCCGGAAUCAUUGGGCGUAAAGGGCGCGUAGGUGGCCCGGUCAGUUCGUGGUGAAAGCGCGGGGCUCAACCCUGCGUCGGCCAUGAAUACUGCCGCGGCUGGAGCACUGUAGAGGCAGGCGGAAUUCCGGGUGUAGCGGUGGAAUGCGUAGAGAUCCGGAAGAACACCGGUGGCGAAGGCGGCCUGCUG